UACGUAGGUGGCAAGCGUUGUCCGGAUUUACUGGGCGUAAAGGGCGUGCAGGCGGUCUGUUAAGUCUAGGGUGAAAGCUCCUGGCUCAACUGGGAGAGGUCCUUGGAUACUGGCGGACUUGAGGGAGGCAGAGGAAAGUGGAAUUCCCGGUGUAGUGGUGAUAUGCGUAGAUAUCGGGAGGAACACCAGUGGCGAAGGCGGCUUCUGGGCCUUACCUGACGCUGAGACGCGAAAGCGUGGGGAGCGAACAGG
rnacentral:rRNA from 1 species